rnacentral:rRNA from 1 species
UACGUAGGGUGCGAGUGCUACUCGGAAUUACUGGCCGUAAAGAGUGCGCAUGCGGAUUGCUAGAUCACAAGUGAAAGACCCCAGUUUAACUUGAGAACUGCUUUUGAAAAUGGGAUGGUAUACUCUGUCUUAGUUCCCUAUAAUUCCACGUGUAGCAGAGAAGUGCAUACAUAUGUGUAGGAAUACCGAUGGACUAGGCGGCCCCCUGCCAUACAUUGACUCUCAUGCAAGAGAUCCUGUAGAGCGAACAGGAUAAUAAACCCUGCUAGUCCACGCCCUAGACGAUGUCGACUGAUUGAUGCCCAACUUGCUUGAUCCGAAAUGAAGCUAACGCUACAAGUUGAGCGUCUGUGUAGCAUUACCGCAAGAUUAAAACUCAACGGAAUUCACGGGGAGUCGCACACACGGAGGAUGAUGUGGAUUAAUUCGAUGCAACGCGAAAAACCUUACCUUCCCGCGGCAUGUACGGAAGUCUGUUGAGAGGUGGAUGUGCCUGAAAGGGAACCCUAACACAGCUGCUGCAUGGCUGUCGUCAGCUAGAGUCGUGAGAAUGCUGGGCUAAGUUACGCAUCGAGCGCACACCGUGGUAUUACAGGCCAUCAAUAAGUUGGGCACUUUAAUAGGACUGCUGGUGAUAAACCGGAGGAAGGUGGGGAAGACGUCAAGUCCUCAUGGCCUUUAUGGGUAGGGCUUCACACGUCACUCAACGGUCGGUACAGAGCGGAUGCCAUCCCGCGAGGGGGAGCCACUCUCAGAAAGCCGGUCGUAGUCCGGACUGGUAUCUGCAACUCGAGAGCAAGAAGUCGGAAUCCAUAGUAAUCGCGGACCAGCAUGUCGCGGAGAAUACGUCUCCCGAGUUU